GACGAACGCUGGCGGCGUGCCUAAUACAUGCAAGUCGAACGCAGUGGGGACGGGGGAGUAACACGUGGGUAACCUCCCAUCAGAGGGGAUAACACUUGGAAACAGGUGCUAAACCGAUACUGAUGUCUGGCCCCGCUGUGCAUUAGCUAGUUGGUGAGGUAACGGCUCACCAAGGCCACGAUGCAUAGCCGACCGGAGAGGGUGAUCGGCAAAACUGGGACUGAGACACGGCCCAGACUCCUACGGGAGGCAGCAGUAGGGAAUCUUCGGCAAGGGACGAAAGUCUGACCGAGCAACGCCGCGUGAGUGAAGAAGGUUUUCGGAUCGUAAAGCUCUGUUGUUAGAGAAGCGUUAUCUAACCAGAAAGCCACGGCUAACUACGUGCCAGCAGCCGCGGUAAUAC
rnacentral:rRNA from 1 species